GUUGUAUGGUUAAGUGACUAAGCGUACACGGUGGAUGCCUUGGCAGUCAGAGGCGAUGAAGGACGUGCUAACCUGCGUUAAGCACGGGUGAGCUGGUAAGAAGCGCUUGAGCCCGUGAUGUCCGAAUGGGGAAACCCACUGCAUUUUGUGCAGUAUCGUUGCGUGAAUACAUAGCGCAGCGAGGCGAACCGGGAGAACUGAAACAUCUAAGUACCCCGAGGAACAGAAAUCAACCGAGAUCCCCUUAGUAGCGGCGAGCGAACGGGGGCCAGCCCUUAA
rnacentral:rRNA from 1 species